rnacentral:misc_RNA from 1 species
CAGGAUUCGCAAGUCUCCCGUAACCACUGUGAACUUUACCUUUUGUUGCCUCGGCGGGUGCUGGUCCUCUAGCGCUCACGCCCGCCGACGGCCCAUAACUCAUUGUCUGACUCUAAGCAUCUCCGAGCCAUACACAAACGAAUCA